rnacentral:sRNA from 1 species
CUAGUGCUCCUUGAUACUAAUAGAGAACUUUUUCCCUUCCCAACCCCCCUCACCAUCUCCCGGAUGUGCCACAUCCCAUGGCUGUGGGCCAGGUGCAGGAGACAUCGAGGAUCCUGGAUGAGUCUGAGGACACAGACCUGCCCUACCCACCACCCCAGAGGGAGGCCAACAUCUACAUGGUUCCUCAGAACAUCAAGCCAGCGCUCCAGCGUACCGCCAUCGAGAUCCUGGCAUGGGGCCUGCGGAACAUGAAGAGUUACCAGCUGGCCAACAUCUCCUCCCCCAGCCUCGUGGUAGAGUGUGGGGGCCAGACGGUGCAGUCCUGUGUCAUCAGGAACCUCCGGAAGAACCCCAACUUUGACAUCUGCACCCUCUUCAUGGAAGUGAUGCUGCCCAGGGAGGAGCUCUACUGCCCCCCCAUUACCGUCAAGGUCAUCGAUAACCGCCAGUUUGGCCGCCGGCCUGUGGUGGGCCAGUGUACCAUCCGCUCCCUGGAGAGGUUCCUGUGUGACCCCUACUUGGUGGAGAGUCCAUCCCCACAGGGUGGCCCAGAUGAUGUGAGCCUACUCAGUCCUGGGGAAGACGUGCUCAUCGA